AUUGAACGCUGGCGGCAGGCCUAACACAUGCAAGUCGAACGGUAACAGGAUGAAGCUUUCUUCUUUGCUGUCGCGUGUCGCGCGGGGGUGUGAUAUCUGUGAAACUGUCUUUUUGAGUGGGAUAUCUCCUGGGAACGGUAACUCAUAUCCCAUAUCGUCGCUAGACCAAAAAGCAGGGCCUUCUCGCCUCUUGCCCUCUUAUAUGCCCCGAUGUGGGAUUAUCUUGUUGGCGGGGUAACGUCACACCAAGGCGACGAUCCGUAGCUGGUCUGAGAGGAUGAACAGCCACACUGGAACUGAGACACGGUCCAGACUCCUACGGGAGGCAGCAGUGGGGAAUAUUGCACAAAGGGCGCAAGCCUGAUGCAGCCAUGCCGCGUGGAUGAAGAAGGCCUUCGGGUUGUAAAGUACUUUCAGCGGGGAGGAAGAGAGGAAAGUUAAUACCUUGGCGCAUUGACGGUACCCAAAGAAGAAGCACCGGCUAACUCCGUG
rnacentral:rRNA from 1 species